CAUGGCUCACUAUCUUGCCCCUCGCCUGCCUGCAAGUGGAAUGCGAGACCUCGUUGGAAAACUGCGGAUUAAAUCCAUCAUUUCUGUGAUAAACGACAAAGAUCAGACACACACUCACCUGCGGCGGAGAAGAGCGUGGCGGGCCGCGCCAAGUCGUUGGGGUGAUGGAUCGCACCGAAGAGGCUCGGGCCCGGAGGUCGACUCAGAAAGUCCGGCUUCAGGCCAAAGUCUAACUUGUGAGGGUCGACCUGCAUCUGCUGCUAGAAGGCGGCAGAUCGAAUGAGGAAAACACAUGUAAAACCCCUUUACAUGACAAAGAUGAAUGCUGUCCACGGUCGAAGUGGAAGUUCUAGGAACAUUGCUAGAGUAUCCGGGGCAAAUAUGAUCCGCGAAAACACCACGUUCACAACACCCUUCGGAUGCAAAUAAACCACCGCUGGCAAGCAUAACAGAAUGUGCAUGUCUUUGAACGGUUCCUCCAGAGCCAGGUAGGAAACACGUGCAUCGGAAAUGGGAUGAGAGUGAGGGAGGACGUGUGUGCAUGUGUAAGCAAACAGUCUUUUGUGGUGUGUGUUUUUCCCUGGGGGCAGCCACACUGCUCGCGUUUCCACAGGUCUGCGCGCCAAAGCCUAAAAGCUCCUUUGCAGUGGCCGCUCUCCGCUGUGGGCCCCCGGCCGUGAUUAUUCACACUGGGUGCCAGGCCCUGUUGGCAGCCUGGCAGGCCAGAGCCAAGUCUUCAGAGUCUGCAAGGCAGAGCUGCUGUUGGGACUGAGUGGAUUCUGAAGCAGCAAUCCUGGAGUCUUAACUGAAUGGGGAGGACUUCAUCGGGCCUCUCAACAGGCUGACAACAGCUCUUCUGUUGUUCUUUCUAAUAAUAAUAAUAACAAUAAUAAUAGUGAUCAUGGAUUAUUUUUAACAUGUGCCAUACCACUGAGGAUUCUUUGAAACUAUUAGCAAAGUGUUUAUUUCACGAAUAUCACCUCUUGUAGCCCACUUCUCAUGCGGAUGUCGAGGGGGGGGGGGCAGAGUGGGUGGUGGAUAAAUCGGCGGUACUCAGGGUGUAAUACGGCCCUUUUAUUCCACUGUUAACAAUCAGUGCUACGGUUUGGCUGAGAACUCAAGCUCUCCUUGAUAUCAGCUUACAGACCGAUCGGGCAUCAUGCGGACUUUCAGCUCACCAGAUAUUUUAGUAUUUAUGGGAAUAUGGAGGCGCAGCACAUGAGGACAUGAGAGACGUGAGGGUUGAGCCGAUGUGUUAUUAGCCUCACCUGUGACCGUUGAGACUGAGGCCGUUGUAGGCGGAAAGGGGCCGGGGGUGGCAGCGUGAUGGGGGCCCGUGGGGCCCGGCCUGGCUGGGGUG